GAUAAGUGGCAAUCUGAUAACCGGCCGAUAGGAGAAUGUGGAGAGCGGGGAGGAGAAGGGUGAAGGUGUCACGUGGAGAUAACGUCACGUGAAGGAGCACGGACUGUGUCUUGAGUGUUUACUGGCUGUCACAGACACUGCUUUGUCCGACGCUUGACCACUUGGAGAUGUAUCACCGGUACUCACGCUGACUCCUACAAUUGUCCAUGCAGGACAAGAACCAGUUCAACAAGACCCAGGGAUACAUUGAGUACAUCUCCUGUUUGAAGGGUCUGCCCAGGCCGGCCCUAACAAGGGAUACUUCAUCCAGCCCACCGUUUUCACCGACGUGAACAACGAUAUGUCCAUUGUGCGAGACGAGAUUUUCGGCCCCAUUCUGACUAUCACCAAGUUCAACUCCGUUGACAAGUACCCACACCACUGAUACCAACAAGGCCCACAUGUCGCUGAGAACAUUGUCUCUGGUACUAUGUCGGUCAACUGCUACAAGGCCUUCCACGAGGCCGUUCCCUUUGGAGGAUCCAGGAGUCAGAACGCGCGCUAUCAACGACCAACAGUCGGACUUGUCCUUGAUAGAUGUAUACGGUAUUGUAUUUCGACAAACGGCAGAAGCACGUGUGUUCAGACAACAGUCUCUACGGAGUUAGUGCUUUAGAUCGGAUGGCUAUCUGAAGAGGGUGAUAUUACGAUAGGAAAGAUGGAGCAGAUUACCCACGUCCACACGUUUCAACGCACCCCAAAGUACAUACUCUCGAACUGGUUGCUCGGUCGAGACGGAGUGCCAUGUGCACACAUACUGAGACCCAUAGACAGCAUAGAGGCAUAGAGAGAUGUGGGCGUACAGCCGUAGAAACAUCUGUCCAUCAUUCACCGGUGCUAUUCCAGUCUUCUUGGACUUGCCAUGUUCAGUACAAGUACAUCUUCCACAUCAGGACAUGUCAAUGGAAGAUGAAAGAAAACCACAUAGAUCAGAAGAAGAAGAGUCAAUGUAGCCAGAGAGUCAAUCAAUGCAUUCAUGAACCCGUUUCUGAUCAUAUGCUCAUCUUUCAAUUCAAAUUCCAACCGUUUAUCCAAAUAUAAAUACCACCUCGACCCCCUCAACAGGUAGACAUAACCAACACCACCAGCACCACCACCAGCACCACUACCAGCACCACCACCAGCACCACUACCAGCACCACUACUACAAUGAUCAAACUGACGCUGACUGAGGAGCAGUUCGUCCGUCUAUUAAGACCCGACAGGAUCCCGAUUAAUCCACACGCGU
rnacentral:misc_RNA from 1 species